UACAGAGGUCCCAAGCGUUGUUCGGAUUCACUGGGCGUAAAGGGUGCGUAGGUGGCGAGGUAAGUCGGAUGUGAAAGCUCGGAGCUCAACUCCGAAAUGGCAUUGGAAACUACCUUGCUCGAGGGAUGGAGGGGGGACUGGAAUUCUCGGUGUAGCGGUGGAAUGCGUAGAGAUCCGGAAGAACACCGGUGGCGAAGGCGGCCUGCUGGGCAGUUGCUGACACUGAGGCGCGACAGCGUGGGGAGCAAACAGG
rnacentral:rRNA from 1 species